UACGAAGGGUGCUAGCGUUGUUCGGAAUCAUUGGGCGUAAAGCGUGCGUAGGCGGUUUGAUAAGUCAGGGGUGAAAUCCUGGAGCUCAACUCCAGAACUGCCUUUGAUACUGAGAAGCUUGAGUCCGGGAGAGGUGAGUGGAACUGCGAGUGUAGAGGUGAAAUUCGUAGAUAUUCGCAAGAACACCAGUGGCGAAGGCGGCUCACUGGCCCGGUACUGACGCUGAGGCGCGAAAGCGUGGGGAGCGAACAGG
rnacentral:rRNA from 1 species